rnacentral:rRNA from 1 species
AAGAGACAGCAGUCGCCACGGUAAUACAGAGGGUGCAAGCGUUAAUCGGAUUUACUGGGCGUAAAGGGCGCGUAGGUGGUUAUUUAAGUGAGAUGUGAAAGCCCCGGGCUUAACCUGGGAACUGCAUCUUAUACUGGGUAACUGGAGUGCAGUAGAGGGUAGUGGAAUUUCCGGUGUAGCGGUGAAAUGCGUAGAUAUCGGAAGGAACACCAGUGGCGAAGGCGGCUACCUGGACUGAGACUGACACUGAGGCGCGAGAGCGUGGGGAGCAAACAGGAUUAGAUACCCCCGUAGUCCCUGUCUCUUAUAC